rnacentral:rRNA from 1 species
CCUACGGGGGGCAGCAGUAGGGAAUAUUGCUCAAUGGGGGAAACCCUGAAGCAGCAACGCCGCGUGGAGGAUGAAGGUUUUCGGAUUGUAAACUCCUUUUGUUAGAGAAGAUAAUGACGGUAUCUAACGAAUAAGCACCGGCUAACUCCGUGCCAGCAGCCGCGGUAAUACGGAGGGUGCAAGCGUUACUCGGAAUCACUGGGCGUAAAGAGCGCGUAGGCGGGAUAGCAAGUCAGAUGUGAAAUCCUAUGGCUUAACCAUAGAACUGCAUUUGAAACUGGUAUUCUAGAGUAUGGGAGAGGGAGGGUGGAAUUUUGGGGGAGGGGGAAAAGUCGG